CUGAAAGCCAGGGCUGACAUGUGCCCGGUUUGUGAGAGCAGCUUGUCCUCUGAAGCAGAUGGCUGAUAAGGAGGUACCAGAAAUUGAACUCACAAUCUUGUGCAGGCCAGAAUUUCCUCCCUCCCAACCUAUGGCCUGUGGGUCACAUUGCUCUCCCAUAGGUGCCCAUGCUUGAAAGAGCACUGGAGCUUCAUGGGCAUGCAGGAAAUGCAGACUCUUCGGGCUUCUAUGCCAGCUUCUGGCCUUGCUGUGGAAACUGCAGAAAUCAACAGGGAGACAACCAAAGAGGAGGCGUAGGGUUUUUCUGUAGGUAUGA